rnacentral:lncRNA from 1 species
AUGUUCCCCUCUCUCUCUCUCCCCUCUCUCUAUCCCCCCCUCUCUCUCUCCCCCCCUCACUCUCUCUCUCCCCCCUAUCUCUCUCUCUCUCUUCCCCCUCUCUCUCUCCCCACUUCUCUCCCCCCCUUUCUCUCUCCUCUCCUCACCUCUCUCUCCUCUCCUCACCUCUCUCUCUCUCCCCCCUCUCUCUCUCUCCCUCUCUCUCUCUCUCUCUCUCCCCCCCUCCUUCUCUCUCUUCCCACCUCUCUCUCUCCCCCUCUCUCUCUCCCCCUCUCUCUCUCUCCCCCUCUCUCUCUCUCCCCCCUCUCUCUCUCUCCCCUCUCUCUCUCUCUCCCUCCCUGUCUCUCUCCUCCCCCUCUCUCUCCCCACCUCUCUCUCUCCCCCCCUUCUCUCUCUCUCUCUCUCUCUCUCUCUCUCCCCCCUCUCUCUCUCUCUUCCCCCCCCUCCUUCUCUCCCCCCCCCCCCUCCUCUCUCUCUCUUCUCUCUCUCUCUCUCUCUCUCUCUCUCUCUCUCUCUCUCCUCCCCCCCUCUCUCUCUCUCUCUCUCCCCCCCUCUCUCUCCCCCCUCCUUCUCUCUCUCUCUCUUCCCCCCCUCUCUCUCUCCCCCCCCCUCUCUCCCCCCCCCUCUCCCCCCCCUCUCUCUCUCUCCCCCCCUCUCUCUCUCUCCCCCCUCUCUCUUUCACAGAAAGCGAUCAGAGUCACCACCUUCAUGCAGCGUCUUCGUGCGUCUGAGACUGCUGCCGCUGAAGUGGAGGCAGGAGGGCAGGGGGAAGGAAGGGGGGAGGACCAGGGAGGAGGAGGGCAGAGUAAGGGAGGAGGGGUGACACCAGAGGUGAUGGUUGGAACUAAUCCGGAGCGUGAGGAGAGGAACGGGGGAGUAGGGGUGAGGAGGUGGGGAGAGGAGAGGGGAGGAGGGGGGAGAAACCCUUUGAGUCCCUCUGUAGGGAUCUCUCCUUCCACCAAUAAUGAACCACUCUCCCAGCCUCCCAACCAAUCAAAUGCCAGCUCCAAACCUCUGGGGGACGAGCCAAAGAAGCCAGCCGUGAAGAAGACGUCAGGCAAAAUGGCCGCCGCAUUGGGUCAAACCAAAACAACAACAGAGACCAAAACACCUCCUACCCCCAUCGUAACCCCUGACCUCACCAAGCCCCAGGACCCCGUCACUGUCUCUGACCACGACACAGCAGCACCAUCGUUGCUUAGCAAUGCCAAGAAGAAGCAACCAACCUAUGUCACUCCUGAGACUCCAACGACUCAACGACACAAGAUGGACGCCCAACUCCCCAACAUGGGCCCAGGCCCUGCUGCUGCUACUACUACUACUGCUGCAGCCAUAGCCCCACCUGCUGACAGGAGGCCGGCAGUGCAGGCUCCAGUAGAGGAGAAGAAGCUGGGUGACAGUAGCUGGUGUCAGACCCAGCUCCCUGAGGCUGUAGCUGAGAGGCCUGCUGGAGGUGGGGGAGUAGGGGGAGGAACUGGGAUUGAGAUGGGAGGGGGAGGGGCAUCUGGAGCAGGGUCAACAGUGAGAACUGGGAUAGGGCCAAGAGGUGACGCGAGCCCCAUUGGUAGAGACCAGAGGGCAGACAGGCACAGUGUAGAGUCCAGGGGGGAACCCGAACCGUCCGAGGGGGGCUACAGUUAUACCAUAGGGGCACUGGGAAGCUCCCGUUGUCUAGGCCGACACACCACCGCAUACAGCCAGGAGGUUGAGCUGGGGGGGUACGGGGGUUCCUACUGCUCCUCUCUGUACGGCAGUGGGGGUGGAGGGAGGAUGUAUGGGGGACUGGAGCACGGAGGUGUUGGGGUCAGAGGUCAUGGUAGUAGUACUGCUGAUUGGCAGAUGGACAGCGUGAUCGAACAGAUCGAGAAGCAAAUGGCGGCGGUGCUGGAGAAGAUCGAGGGGGACAUGCCCUCUCUCCUGGAACAGAUCAGUGACUGCCCCCCGCCUCCCGAACCCCCCCGCAGCACACACACCUCCCCCUCCUCACGCUCCCGCUCCUCCCAACACCAACCAUCUCACUCCUCCACCUCCUCCCUCACCUCCACUGCUACACCCCCACCCCUCCCCACAUCUCCCAGACCACCUCUUCCCUCCCUCCCCCACCUCACCAUCCCCCCUCCAUCCUACCCGCCUCCUUCCCUGCCCACCCGCUCCCCUGGUCAGCCAAUCGGUGAGCACAAGGAGAGAGACGGACAGAGAGGAGCAGUCCAUUCCAGCCAAUCCCCAUCCGUGAGGCCAGGGAAGGGCCUAUGA